CGGACGGGUGAGUAACGCGUGGGUAACCUGCCUCACACUGGGGGAUAACAGUUAGAAAUAGCUGCUAAUACCGCAUAAGCGCACAGUUCCGCAUGGAACAGUGUGAAAAACUCCGGUGGUGUGAGAUGGACCCGCGUCUGAUUAGCCAGUUGGCGGGGUAACGGCCCACCAAAGCGACGAUCAGUAGCCGGCCUGAGAGGGUGAACGGCCGCAUUGGGACUGAGACACGGCCCAA
rnacentral:rRNA from 1 species